GAUGAACGCUGGCGGCGUGCCUAAUACAUGCAAGUCGAGCGAACGGACGAGAAGCUUGCUUCUCUGAUGUUAGCGGCGGACGGGUGAGUAACACGUGGAUAGCCUACCUAUAAGACUGGGAUAACUUCGGGAAACCGGAGCUAAUACCGGAUAAUAUUUUGAACCGCAUGGUUCAAAAGUGAAAGACGGUCUUGCUGUCACUUAUAGAUGGAUCCGCGCUGCAUUAGCUAGUUGGUAAGGUAACGGCUUACCAAGGCAACGAUGCAUAGCCGACCUGAGAGGGUGAUCGGCCACACUGGAACUGAGACACGGUCCAGACUCCUACGGGAGGCAGCAGUAGGGAAUCUUCCGCAAUGGGCGAAAGCCUGACGGAGCAAAGCCGCGUGAGUGAUGAAGGUCUUCGGAUCGUAAAACUCUGUUAUUAGGGAAGAACAUAUGUGUAAGUAACUGUGCACAUCUUGACGGUACCUAAUCAGAAAGCCACGGCCAACUACGUG
rnacentral:rRNA from 1 species